CCUACGGGCGGCAGCAGUGGGGAAUAUUGCACAAUGGGCGCAAGCCUGAUGCAGCCAUGCCGCGUGUGUGAAGAAGGCCUUCGGGUUGUAAAGCACUUUCAGCGGGGAGGAAGGCGUUAAGGUUAAUAACCUUGGCGAUUGACGUUACCCGCAGAAGAAGCACCGGCUAACUCCGUGCCAGCAGCCGCGGUAAUACGGAGGGUGCAAGCGUUAAUCGGAAUUACUGGGCGUAAAGCGCACGCGGGCGGUCUGUCAAGUCGGAUGUGAAAUCCCCGGGCUCAACCUGGGAACUGCAUUCGAAACUGGCAGGCUAGAGUCUUGUAGAGGGGGGUAGAAUUCCAGGUGUAGCGGUGAAAUGCGUAGAGAUCUGGAGGAAUACCGGUGGCGAAGGCGGCCCCCUGGACAAAGACUGACGCUCAGGUGCGAAAGCGUGGGGAGCAGACAGGAUUAGAUACCCCAGUAGUC
rnacentral:rRNA from 1 species